GUUAUCGAAAGGAGGAAGUAGAAAAGUUCAAAGCACAUAUGGAGGAGGGGAUAAAGAUUGUUAAAAAGUGCUCCAAGGUUCGUAAGUGGAACAUCUACAAGAAGUACAAGUACGCCAACAAGCUUCUUGGAUGGGAUAGUGCUCUUGAAAGACUAUUGAAGGUACUGCAGGCGCAGGGAGUAAGGGAUGGGAAGGAGACUUCGCUUUCGGUAAAGAGGAUAGAGAGGACGGUCACUGAGAUUGAAAUGAGUAGUAUCAUUUUAGAGUCAGGGGUUGAGAAUUUAGCAACAACCAAUAGGCAUAUGGAGAAGGUGCUCAGUGGAGUUGAAAUGAGAAGUGGAGAUAUGCUGGAGGGGAUGUACCGGAUUGAAGACCGAGUUGAAACAAACUCUUGCAGUAUGGAGGCAGGGAUCAAGAGGAUUGAAGACCGACUUGAUAUACAAAAUGGAGCUAAAGGUGGAGCUUGGUGUGUUGUGCCUGAACUUACACAGUUUACAGUUGGACUGGAUGAACCUUUGCAGGAGUUGAAGAUGAAACUUCUUAAGGAUGGAGUCUCGAUGCUUGUGGUCACUGCUCCCGGAGGAUGUGGGAAAACUACAUUGGCAACAAAGUUUUGUCAAGACGGGCAAGUCAAAGAUAAAUUCAAGAACAACAUCUUCUUUGUCACUGUGUCAAACACACCAAACCUAGGCCUUAUUGUUCAAGAGUUACAUAUUCGCAAGGGUUCCCAGGUGCCUACUUUCCCAGACGAAAUAACUGCAGUCAAGUGGCUGCAAACAUUUCUAAAGGAACAAGGAAGAAACCCUUUACUGAGGAUAUCACUUCGCGGACAAAGUAUAGAGAUCUGGAAACAAAGACUAAUUGAAUGGUCCAAAGGGUCUUCAAUUCUUGACUCUGAGACCGACUUGCUUCUUCGCCUCCAAAGCAGCAUAGUUGUCUCAGAUAAAGAAAUGGCUAUCAUCAGGGAGUGUUUCCUAGACCUUGGUUCAUUUCCUGAAGACCAAAGAAUCCCAGUUACUGCCCUCAUUGAUAUGUGGACAGAGUUACAUGAGCAGCUAGAUGAAGAUACGCUGUGUUGCAUACCUCCAGAGGCUCACCAACCGAAGUCUGGCUAAUCUUGUAGUCACACGGAAGGACCUGACGCAGGGGGAUGGAUACUACAGUGAACAUUUUACAAGACAACAAGCCCCAGGAGAUAGAGAAAGACUGAUUAUAAACAUAAUUGGAAACAAUCUUCCGAAAUGGUGGAUGGAAGAUAAGUACAAAUCCAUGAAAACUCGCAUAUUAUCCAUCUCAACUGAUGGAAAUUUCUCAUCAAAAUGGCACCACAUGGAACUACCAGAAGCCGAGGUUCUAGUCUUAAAUUUUAAGACGAAGUAUUAUGCCUUACCCAAAUUUGUGGACACUAUGCAUAAAUUGAAGGUCCUUAAUUGUUGUCACAAAUGAUGGUUUCUCACCUGCUGAGCUAAGUAAUACUGCACUACUGGAUUCGAAAUCUCACCUAGAGAGAAUUAGAUUGGAGCGUGUCUCAAUAUCUUCAAUAACAAAGAACCCCGUACAAUUUGUGUGUCUGAAGAAGAUAUCUCUAUUCAUGUGUACCAUUGGAAAAGCUUUCAGCGACAGUUCCAUCCAGUUUUCAUGUGCAUUUCCAAAUCUAGAGGAAAUUACCAUUGACUAUUGCAAUGAUUUGGUGGAAAUGCCUGCUGACCUAUGUGAGCUUAUAUUCUUAUUCAUCUAAGGAAGCUCAGUGUCACCAACUGAUCACAUAAGCUUCUUGCCUUACCUGAAGAGUAGGGAAACUGGAAAAUUUGGAACUGCUGAGACUAAGGUCAUGUACAGACUUGGAACAGUUGCCAGGCUCUAGCAGUAACCUAAAGAAGUUGACCUUUCUUGACGUUUCUUAUUGCUUUAGCAUCAAGGAAUUGCCUGAAGAUAUUGGUGAAAUGAGCAGCUUAAAAAAGCUCAACAUGAGAGAAUGCUCGAGAUUGCAAGAAGUACCUGUAUCGAUUUUGAGACAAGAAACUUAUGGGAGCCUUUCUUGCCUCUGGAAAACACAAGAAUAG